UUUGACACUUUGGUUUUCUUCUGAACGUUUGGACUUCUAAAGUUUAAAAAAACAAACAAAAAAACCCCUCAACUUCCUCCUCUUAGUUCGUCCUCAUGUCUGGCCCUUAUUCUGAAAGUUUGACUUUAAUCCAAAUCAUAAACAAUUCUUUUUUUGCUUCUGCAACAUGCAGCUUGCGUUAGCAUCGUUUCUGUGGUGCAGGCGUGUCAUUUUAACACAUACAGAUUCUCACUUUAAAGCUGUAAGGUCCAAAAAAAAACUAUUUGGAAACUGUGUUCAUCUUACAAAAUGAGCUAACUCAUCCGACAAUACGUACA